rnacentral:rRNA from 1 species
UACGGAGGGUGCAAGCGUUAUCCGGAUUCACUGGGUUUAAAGGGUGCGUAGGAGGGCAGGUAAGUCAGUGGUGAAAUCUCCAAGCUUAACUUGGAACUGCCGUUGAUACUAUCUGUCUUGAAUACCGUGGAGGUGAGCGGAAUAUGUCAUGUAGCGGUGAAAUGCUUAGAUAUGACAUAGAACACCAAUUGCGAAGGCAGCUCGCUGGGACGUUAACUGACGCUGAGACGCGAAAGCGUGGGGAGCAAACAGG